rnacentral:lncRNA from 1 species
UGGAAGUUGAGCAAGUUUUUGGCAAUUUGUUAGGUCAAGGCGAGAUAGAGAUGCUAAAUCACCUAUUGAGUUGGGUAUGCGGGCUAACAUUGCACAAUAAGAGGCAUCUAGAGUCUUGAGCUUCUUUAAAGAUCCAAUGGAUGAAGGUAAUUCUGCAAUAGCCGUAUAUUUCAAAUGCAACUCAGUCAAGGAUUUCAACUUUCCGAUCGAGUCUAGGAUUUGUCUCAACAACAAGCAUCCCGACAAUAACAACUGUGAUAGGGACAUGAGGGAGCCUAUGGAGUUUGGAAGUUGAGUCAAUUUAUGGCAAUCUGUUAGGUCAAGGCAAGACAAAGAUGCUAGAUUGCCUAUUGAGUUGGGUAUGCGGGCUAACAAUGCACAAUAAGAGGCAUCUAAAGUCUCGAGCUUCUUUAAAGAUCCAAUGGAUUCAGGUAAUUCUUCAAUGGCCGUAAAUUUCAAAUGCAGCUCAGUCAAUGAUGUCAACUUUCC